rnacentral:lncRNA from 1 species
CGUCGUCCUCUUCUGUUUACUCAACUCAGUGGGGCAAAAUUACCCUUCAAGACCUUUGGGGUUGGUGAUGAGGAUGUGUCACAGAAGGCUACAAGAAGAAGAUCCCAGCAACCCACAGUUUGCUUGAACUCGCUAUUUGGAUUUUAAGCUGCUACCCAAUUUGAACUCGCGACGGCACAUCUUCACAUCAACUAGAAGUAGCACGACAAGCAGGUCCACCUUCAUUCUCCUUCAG